UACGUAGGGGGCAAGCGUUGUCCGGAGUUACUGGGCGUAAAGCGCACGCAGGCGGUCUUUUAAGUUUGGAGUGACAGUUGGUGGCUUAACUGCCAAAGUGCUUCGAAAACUGAAAGACUUGAGGGCUUCAGAGGGACACGGAAUUCCGGGUGGAGUGGUGAAAUGCGCAGAUAUCAGGAAGAACACCCGUGGCUAAGGCGGCUCUCUAGUACGGUACUGACGCUGAGACGCGAAAGCGUGGGGAGCGAACAGG
rnacentral:rRNA from 1 species